AAAUUGAAGAGUUUGAUCAUGGCUCAGAUUGAACGCUGGCGGCAGGCCUAACACAUGCAAGUCGAACGGUAACAGGAAGCAGCUUGCUGCUUCGCUGACGAGUGGCGGACGGGUGAGUAAUGUCUGGGAAACUGCCUGAUGGAGGGGGAUAACUACUGGAAACGGUAGCUAAUACCGCAUAACGUCGCAAGACCAAAGAGGGGGACCUUCGGGCCUCUUGCCAUCGGAUGUGCCCAGAUGGGAUUAGCUAGUAGGUGGGGUAACGGCUCACCUAGGCGACGAUCCCUAGCUGGUCUGAGAGGAUGACCAGCCACACUGGAACUGAGACACGGUCCAGACUCCUACGGGAGGCAGCAGUGGGGAAUAUUGCACAAUGGGCGCAAGCCUGAUGCAGCCAUGCCGCGUGUAUGAAGAAGGCCUUCGGGUUGUAAAGUACUUUCAGCGGGGAGGAAGGCGAUAAGGUUAAUAACCUUGUCGAUUGACGUUACCCGCAGAAGAAGCACCGGCUAACUCCGUGCCAGCAGCCGCGGUAAUACGGAGGGUGCAAGCGUUAAUCGGAAUUACUGGGC
rnacentral:rRNA from 1 species